CGUUAAAAACGUUUUAUGAUGUUUUCAUCAUUUUCUGGUUUUUCUGUGUUAGUUUCUCUCCAAAGUUUAUGUUUAAUUAAAUUAAUUAAAUGACUUCCAAGUGCACACAGAAAGCUUUGUGCAUUCCAUUUCCAUGCAUCAUGUAAGAAAUGAAACAUCAUGGAAUUCACCUUCAUUACAUCAUUACAUUAUAUAAAUCUUCUGCUGUAAAUUUCCUGCACGAAGGUGUAUCACUAUUCCUAUGGAAUGGAAUAACAUCUAAACCAAAAAAAAAAUCUCCAAAUCUGCCUACUACAUACGUUAAUAAGAAUUCACACAAUAUUUCUGUCAAGAAAGGAAAUUUAAAGUUGUGAUAAUGUGUCACCCAGUGUCACCAACUUCAGCAAGUAGGCUAUUCCUAUUCUUAUGUGAAGCCAGUUCUUACAGUUAUAAUCGUCCUGGGUUUCGUUAGCAUUGCGCCUUUCUUUAUCGGAAAUUUUUUCCCGUUGUCAACGUUACUCAAUGGUGUACAUUCUCAUUUAUAGUUCACCAACAUAUGACUUCAAGUCUUCGACAAGGAGAUGUAAACUUGUGUGGCGAUGGCAAACGAAAUUUAAUCGACGACUCAUUCAAACAACGUACAACGUGGAACAUCGCUCAGUAAAUUGCACCAACAGAUUACUUUGACAAGGAGACGCAAAACGAAAAUCGACGACUCAUAUCACCGUGGAACAUCUUUGGUAUUAUUGUUUUGUUAGUUAACCCGUUGGCUGCCACGCCUUUGUUCUCCCCUUGUAGCUCCUUAGCACGGGCCGCGCUGUUCGGUCUCGUGGUUUA